rnacentral:tRNA from 1 species
GGGAACGUAGCUCAACCUGGGAGAGCACUAGACUGAAGCUCUAGGUGUUGGGGGUUCAAAUCCCCCCGUUCCCA